rfam:Leersia perrieri chromosome 10, whole genome shotgun sequence.
CCAAAAUGUAGGUAUUUGUUGAUUUUUAGACGUCACGUCUGACCAUCCGUCUUAUUUAAAAAUUUUAUAAAUAUAUUAUUUAUUUUGUUAUGAUUUGUUUUAUCAUUAGGUAUACUUCAAGUAUGACUUAUUUGUUUUUAUAUUUCUAUAAAUUUUUUAAAUAAGACGGAUGGUCAAACGUGAUGUGCAGAAACCGAUAAAUGCUUAUAUU